UACGGAGGGUGCGAGCGUUGUCCGGAAUCACUGGGCGUAAAGGGCGCGUAGGUGGCGGGUCAAGCGUGCGGUGAAAGCUCGGGGCUCAACCCCGAGUCGGCCGUGCGAACUAGCUUGCUUGAGCACUGUAGAGGCAGAUGGAAUUCCGGGUGUAGCGGUGGAAUGCGUAGAGAUCCGGAAGAACACCGGUGGCGAAGGCGGUCUGCUGGGCAGUUGCUGACACUGAGGCGCGACAGCGUGGGGAGCAAACAGG
rnacentral:rRNA from 2 species